rnacentral:rRNA from 1 species
GUGGGCAAUCUGCCCUUCACUCUGGGACAAGCCCUGGAAACGGGGUCUAAUACCGGAUAACACUCCUGCCUGCAUGGGUGGGGGUUAAAAGCUCCGGCGGUGAAGGAUGAGCCCGCGGCCUAUCAGCUUGUUGGUGAGGUAGUGGCUCACCAAGGCGACGACGGGUAGCCGGCCUGAGAGGGCGACCGGCCACACUGGGACUGAGACACGGCCCAGACUCCUACGGGAGGCAGCAGUGGGGAAUAUUGCACAAUGGGCGAAAGCCUGAUGCAGCGACGCCGCGUGAGGGAUGACGGCCUUCGGGUUGUAAACCUCUUUCAGCAGGGAAGAAGCGAAAGUGACGGUACCUGCAGAAGAAGCGCCGGCUAACUACGUGCCAGCAGCCGCGGUAAUACGUAGGGCGCAAGCGUUGUCCGGAAUUAUUGGGCGUAAAGAGCUCGUAGGCGGCUUGUCACGUCGGUUGUGAAAGCCCGGGGCUUAACCCCGGGUCUGCAGUCGAUACGGGCAGGCUAGAGUGUGGUAGGGGAGAUCGGAAUUCCUGGUGUAGCGGUGAAAUGCGCAGAUAUCAGGAGGAACACCGGUGGCGAAGGCGGAUCUCUGGGCCAUUACUGACGCUGAGGAGCGAAAGCGUGGGGAGCGAACAGGAUUAGAUACCCUGGUAGUCCACGCCGUAAACGGUGGGAACUAGGUGUUGGCGACAUUCCACGUCGUCGGUGCCGCAGCUAACGCAUUAAGUUCCCCGCCUGGGGAG